AACCACACAGGAUAUUGGUUCUGGUUAAAGGGAAUCGCCGGACGGGAUCUCAGGUUAGCCCAACCACGCAGAUUUUGGUUCUGGUUAAAGGGGAUCGCCGGACGGGAUCUCAGGUUAGCCCAACCACACAGGAUAUUGGUUCUGGUUAAAGGGGAUCGCCGGACGGGAUCUCAGGUUAGCCCAACCGCACACAGGAUAUUGGUUCUGGUUAAAGGGGAUCGUCGGACGAGAUCUCAGGUUAGCCCAACCACGCAGAUUUUGGUUUUGGUUCAAGGAGAUCGCC
rnacentral:lncRNA from 1 species